rnacentral:rRNA from 1 species
GACGAACGCUGGCGGCGUGCUUAACACAUGCAAGUCGAACGGAAAGGCCUCUUUCGGGGGGUACUCGAGUGGCGAACGGGUGAGUAACACGUGAGUAACCUGCCCUUGACUUUGGGAUAACUUCAGGAAACUGGGGCUAAUACCGGAUAGGAGCUCCUGCGGCAUGGUGGGGGUUGGAAAGUUUCGGCGGUUGGGGAUGGACUAGCGGCUGAUAAGCUUGUUGGUGGGGUAGUGGCUUACCAAGGCUUUGACGAGGAGCAGGCCCGAGAGUGUGACCGGCCACAGUGGCACUGGGACACGGCCCCGACUCCUACGCGAGCGAGAAGCGGCGAAGAGUGAUCAAGCGGUGGAAGCCAGAUGCAGCAACGCCGAUGGCGGGAGGACGGCCUUCGGGUUGUAAUUCGAAUUCUCUCAUGCCGAAGCCGUGUGUGACGGUAGUGGGUAAAGAAGCACCGGCUAACUACGUG